AUUGAACGCUGGCGGCAGGCCUAACACAUGCAAGUCGAGCGGAUGAAGGGAGCUUGUUCCUGGAUUCAGCGGCGGACGGGCGAGUAAUGCCUAGGAAUCUGCCCGGUCGUGGGGGAUAACGUCCGGAAACGGGCGCUAAUACCGCACACGUUCUGAUGGUGAAAGUGGGGGAUCUUCGGACCACACGCUAUUUGAUGAGACUAGGUCGGAUUAGCUAGUUGGUGAGGUAAAGGCCUACCAAGGCGACGAUCCGUAACUGGUCUGAGAGGAUGAUCAGUCACACUGGAACUGAGACACGGUCCAGACUCCUACGGGAGGCAGCAGUGGGGAAUCUUGCGCAAUGGGCGAAAGCCUGAUCCAGCCAUGCCGCGUGUGUGAAGAAGGUCUUCGGAUUGUAAAGCACUUUUAGUUGGGAGGAAGAAAAGUAAGUUAAUACCUGGCUGUUUUGACGUUACCAACAGAAUAAGCCCCGGCUAACUUCGUG
rnacentral:rRNA from 1 species